rnacentral:rRNA from 1 species
UUGACCUCAAAUCAGGUAGGACUACCCGCUGAACUUAAGCAUAUCAAUAAGCGGAGGAAAAGAAACUAACAAGGAUUCCCCUAGUAACUGCGAGUGAAGCGGGAAAAGCUCAAAUUUAGAAUCUGGCGGUCUUUGGCUGUCCGAGUUGUAAUUUAGAGAAGUGUUAUCCGCGCUGGACCGUGUACAAGUCUCCUGGAACGGAGCGUCAUAGAGGGUGAGAAUCCCGUCUUUGACACGGACCACCAGUGCUUUGUGAUGCGCUCUCGAAGAGUCGAGUUGUUUGGGAAUGCAGCUCAAAAUGGGUGGUAAAUUCCAUCUAAAGCUAAAUAUUGGCGAGAGACCGAUAGCGAACAAGUACCGUGAGGGAAAGAUGAAAAGAACUUUGGAAAGAGAGUUAAACAGUACGUGAAAUUGUUGAAAGGGAAACGCUUGAAGUCAGUCGCGUUGUCCGGGGAUCAACCUUGCAUUCGUGCUUGGCGUACUUCCCGGUCGACGGGUCAGCAUCAAUUUUGACCGCUGGAUAAAGGUCAGGGGAAUGUGGCAUCCUCGGAUGUGUUAUAGCCUCUGGCUGCAUACAGCGGUUGGGAUUGAGGAACUCAGCACGCCGCAAGGCCGGGUUUUUAACCACGUACGUGCUUAGGAUGCUGGCAUAAUGGCUUUAAUCGACCCGUC